CCGAGAGGUGUGUUUGUGCCUCCGAGUGCGGGAGCAGGCGGAUGCUGUUCUCUCGAUAUGGUGCCGGUGCCGGUGCCGAUGCCGAUGCCGAUGCCGAACGCAGCGCUUGUUCUUUGUUUCUUCAUAACCGCUGGUGAGUCUCUGAAUUUUACCAUCAUGGUGGAGCACAGACAAAUAAAUGCAACCGUGGGUGGAAAUGCGUUUUUUUUCAGUGUGGCCGUCGGAUGAGAUCUCCAGUGGAAGCUGGACCUUUAACGAGAAAACGGUCUGCCAGUGGAUCGGUCAAACCCUGUCUGUUGAUAAUUCUUAUUCGCGAGCCGAGCUGUUCACUAACAACGGGUCGCUACUGCUGAAGUUGGUGAACAAGUAUGACAGUGGGGAAUACCAGGUGAACAUGGUCCCAACCAAAGGCUCGCAAACCUCAGCGACCAUCACUCUCCAAGUCACUGGUCAGCAAAGUUGAAGUUCCCUUUCCCAUUCAUUUUUAAUUUUAUCAGAUAUACCUGGCUGUAAUUUCAUAAUUAUAUCGUAAAUAUGGAGGAAGGGAGGAGAAGAUGGCGGUGCGAUGCAGUGCGCGCGGCCGUUCUGAAUGAUAUCGUAUGUGUUAACUAGGGGCCAUGCACAAUCCUGAUUUGAUGGAGACAGCCGUGAGAAGCGCAGAGGAACACCUGAAACUUCUGAAAUGCCUGCUUUGCUGCCGCUGCUACUGUGCGAUCGAGAAUCUCCAGAAGGGAAGGCCCCAAAUCCUUGGCUUUGCCUAUUGCCUGUUGCUGGGGUUGGGGUCGAAGCGCUCGGCAGAAAUUGUGCUCGGUGUCGGAGAGCUGGCCGGAGGCUCGGAAUUUUCGGGCGGACUCGGAGUCGGACUGUGGUCGGAUGCUACAUCGGCAAGUUUGUGGCGAUGGUGGUUCACCGUCUGCAUGAGAUGAUGGGACUUUCGAGAGACUUUGAGACUUUUACCGUGCCCAUGGUCUGUUCUUAUCAAAUUAUGGUAUUGCUUUGCACUGUUGUAACUAUAUGUUAUAACUAUGUGGUUUUUGUCAGUUUUUCAGUUGGUUUGUCAUGUAUUUCUGUGAUAUCAUUCUGGAAAAAUAUUGUAUCAUUUCUUAAUGCAUGCAUUACUAAAUGACAAUAAAAGAGGACUGCAUGUCCUCAUAAUCUAAUCUAAUCUAAUCUAAAUAGAUGCUAUUUAAAAAGUGGCUCACCUGAGGACUGGGAGAAAUUCAGAGUUCAGCAGAGGAGGACAAAGGGCUUAAUUAGGAAGGGGAAAAAAGAUUAUGAGAGAAAACUGGCAAGGAACAUAAAAACUGGCUGUAAAAGCUUUUAUAGAUAUGUAAAAAGGAAAAGACUGGUUAAGACAAAUGUAGGUCCCCCACAGACAGAAACAGGUGAACUGAUUAUGGGGAGCAAGGACAUGGCCAACCAAUUGAAUAAUUACUUUGGUUCUGUCUUCACUAAGGAGGACAUAAAUAAUCUUCCAGAAAUAGUAGGGGACGGAGGGUCCAGUGAGAUGGAGGAACUGAGCGAAAUACAUGUUAGUAGGGAAGUGGUGUUAGGUAAAUUGAAGGGAUUAAAGGGAGAUAAAUCCCCAGGGCCAGAUGGUCUGCAUCCCAGAGUGCUUAAGGAAGUAGUCCAGGAAAUACUGAAUGCAUUAGUGAUAAUUUUUCAAAACUCAUUAGAUUCUGGACAAGUUCUUGAGGAUUGGAGGGUGGCUAAUGUAACCCCACUUUUUAAAAAAGGAGGGAGAGAGAAACCGGGGAAUUAUAGACCGGUUAGCCUAACGUCGGUGGUGGGGAAACUGCUGGAGUCAGUUAGCAAAGAUGUGAUAACAGCACAUUUGGAAAGCGAUGAAAUCAUCGGACAAAGUCAGCAUGGAUUUGUGAAAGGAAAAUCAUGUCUGACGAAUCUCAUAGAAUUUUUUGAGGAUGUAACUAGGAGAGUGGAUGGGGAGAACCAGUGGAUGUGGUAUAUUUGGAUUUUCAGAAGGCUUUUAACAAGGUCCCACACAGGAGAUUAGUGUGCAAACUUAAAGCACAUGGUAUUGGGGGUAAGGUAUUCAUGUGGGUAGAGAAUUGGUUAGCAGACAGGAAGCAAAGAGUGGGAAUAAACGAGACCUUUUCAGAAUGGCAGGCAGUGACUGGUGGGGUACCGCAAGGCUCAGUGCUGGGACCCCAGUUGUUUACAAUAUAUAUUAAUGACUUGGAUGAGGGAAUUAAAUGCAGCAUCUCCAAGUUUGCUGACGACACGAAGCUGGGCGGCAGUGUUAGCUGUGAGGAGGAUGCUAAGAGGAUGCAGGGUGACUUGGAUAGGUUGGGUGAGUGGGCAAAUUCAUGGCAGAUGCAAUUUAAUGUGGAUAAAUGUGAAGUUAUCCACUUUGGUGGCAAAAAUAGGAAAACAAAUUAUUAUCUGAAUGGUGGCCGAUUAGGAAAAGGGGAGGUGCAACGAGACCUGGGUGUCAUUAUACACCAGUCAUUGAAAGUGGGCAUGCAGGUGCAGCAGACGGUGAAAAAGGCGAAUGGUAUGCUGGCAUUUAUAGCAAGAGGAUUCGAGUACAGGAGCAGGGAGGUACUACUGCAGUUGUACAAGGCCUUGGUGAGACCACACCUGGAGUAUUGUGUGCAGUUUUGGUCCCCUAAUCUGAGGAAAGGCAUCCUUGCCAUAGAGGGAGUAUAAAGAAGGUUCACCAGAUUGAUUCCUGGGAUGGCAGGACUUUCAUGUGAUGAAAGACUGCAUGAACUAGGCUUGUACUCGUUGGAAUUUAGAAGAUUGAGGGGGGAUCUGAUUGAAAUGUAUAAAAUCCUAAAGGGAUUGGACAGGCUAGAUGCAGGAAGAUUGUUCCCGAUGUUGGGGAAGUCCAGAACGAGGGGUCACAGUUUGAGGAUAAAGGCGAAGCCUUUUAGGACUGAGAUUAGGAAAAACUUCUUCACACAGAGAGUGGUGAAUCUGUGGAAUUCUCUGCCACAGGAAACAGUUUAGGCCAGUUCAUUGGCUAUAUUUAAGAGGGAGUUAGAUAUGGCCCUUGUGGCUAUGGGGAUCAGGGGGUAUGGAGGGAGGGCUGGUGCAGGGUUCUGAGUUGGCUGAUCAGCCAUGAUCAUAAUAAAUGGUGGUGCAGGCUCGAAGGGCCGAAUGGCCUACUCCUGCACCUAUUUUCUAUGUUUUCUAUGUUUUCUAUUAAUCUGUUCUGAAAGGGAUUUAAACCUAAAAUUUUGUCAAUGGCAUCAGUAGGGUGUGAAAUUGGGAAGGUAGGCAGCGUGGUAUUUAAAAAGUUCUUAUGAGUAAAUAUCUAAAGAAGUGGGAUCUGGACAAAUUAAAUUUAUUAGAUAACUGUUCAAAAGACAUGAAACAGUUAUUCAGAAAUAAGUCACAAAAACAUGUUAUACCUUUCAUUUUCCAUAUCAAAAAGGCUUGAUCCAUAACCAAGGGGUGAAAAAAAAAUUAGAUAUAAUAGGGCUUGAUAAUAUAAAUUUGUUCAAACCAAAAAAUUUACGCAAUUGAAACCAUAUUUGUAAUGUAUGUUUAAUUAUUGGAUUAACCAUCUGUCUAUUCAAUUUAGAUAGUACAAAAGGAAAGUGAAGUUCCAAAGACAGGGUUCAGUGCUUGGUCCAUUGCUGUUUAUUUUGUAUAUAAACGAUAUAUGUAUGGUUUCUCAGACAUUAAAAUGUAUAUUAUUUGCUGACGAUGCAACUAUAUUUUGUAGUGGGGAACAUCAGAAACAACUUUUGGAUCCAAUGGAGAAAGAAUUAAAAAUUAUAAAGAAGGGGUUUGAUACUAACAAAUUAUCACGAAAACUAAGUAAAAUUAAAUUCAUAAUAUUUGGAAAUUGUGUGUCAAACUCAUAUAGUAAACUUGGAAUAAAUGAUAUCAAAAUUGAUAAGGCAUCUGAAACAAAAUUUUUAGGAGUGGUAACGGAUAAUAAAUUAAGCUGGAAACCACAUAAAAUUAUGUCAAAGCAAAAACGGGAAAAUUUAUUGCAAUACUGUACAAAGUGCAAGAUUUCUUAAAUCAGGAAUCUUUAUGUACGGGGUCUUUCUUUUGUUACAUUUAAAAUGGCGACUUUGUUAUGUUAAUCUGGGGAAUGUGGCUUUGUUAUGUUUUAACGCUGAAGAGAGUUUGCGCUAGCAGUUCGUUUUACUUUAAAUUGAGAUAGCAGCCUUCUAGUAGCCAAUGGGUGGUUAUGUAUCGUUUUGUUUUCGGAUACCAUGCUGUAUGAUAUGACUGUGGACUGAGUUUUGGCGGGGAGUCGAAGGAGAGACGGGGAGUCGGAGGAGAGACAGGGAGGACGGAGUAGAGACGGGGAGGACGGAGGAGAGACGAGGAGUCGGAGGAGAGACAGGGAGUCGGAGGGGAGACGGAGGAGAAACAGGGAGGACAGUGGAGAGACGGGGAGUCGGGGGAGAGACAGAGAGUCGGAGGAGGGACGAGGAGGACGGCGGACGUGUGGAGAGGCUCCGGUCAAUCACUCAGGGUGAUCCCGAGCUGUGAGUCGACAGGAUCCGGGUGGUCGUCUGAUGUCGAAUUGAGCUCCAACGGUAGCGCAUGAAGAACUUGGACUUUGAUAAGUGUUGGCGCCUUUUUUUUUCAUUACUUUCCUCUCUGUAUCAAAUGUAUAUUAAUGUCAUAGAAUUAGUAAUAUCUAUAAAGUGUAUUUGUUAAAAUUUACUGGGUGUGCUGGCUGAUGAUUGAUGUUGUGAUUGAAUCAGGCGGCGACUGACCCUGAGGGGAGUGUUGAAGCAGGUGCUGGGCUGGAUUUCCCCUAGACAUACACGAGCCAAUAUAACGGAACGUUACAUUUAUAUACACUUAUACACUGUUCACUUAUCAUCCCAUACAUGUCUUACUGUGUUGAGUUAUGGGGAAAUACAUAGAAAACAUUUACAAACUCGAUUUUAUUUUUAACUCCAAAAGAAAGUCAUACGAAUUGUAAAUAAGAUGAGCCAACCAAUCCACUAUUUAUUCAACUAAACCCUUUAAAAUUCAGAGAUUUCGUAGAUUUUAAAAUAAUACAAAUUAUGUAUAAAGUAAAAAAUGGAUAGUUACCACAUAGUAUUCAAAAUUGUUUAAAAUGACAACGUCAGCAUGAUUUGAGAGGGAUAGGUACAUUUCAAAAACAAAGGAUAAGAACAAAUGUAGAAAAAUGAUUGUAUUUCAGUCAGAGGGGUAAAUCUAUGGAACAGUUGUAGUGAGAAUUUAAAAACAUGUACCAUACUUAAGUUUAAAAAUUAUUUAAAAAUAAUUUAAUGUACAAAUAUAAAACACAUGAUUUAAAAUGAAUGGGAGUAAUGUAAAUAAAUGAAACUUGGAAUUGGAUUUUGUGUUAAAAGAUUAGGAAAAAUUUUGUUUUGAUGUGAUGAUUGAUGCCGAAUAUGUUAUUGUAUAAUUAAGAGGGGUAGGUGUGAUGAGCUGUAGGUUCCGCCUACAUUCUUCAGGUCUGUGUUAUUUAAUUUAAUUUUAUUUAUUAUUUAAUUUUGUUUUAUGACAUCAUUGUUGAAAAAUGAUGUUUUUGUUAUAUUUCUACUGACCGAAAUAAAAAAAUUUCUUUCAUCCAAAAAAAUUUCAUUGAUUUUAUUCGUACACUUUCCAACAUUGUAUUUCAUUUGCCACUUCUCUGCCCAUUCCCCUAAACUGUCUUAAGUCUCUCUGCAGUCUCUGCUUGCUCAACACUACCCGCUCCUCCACCAGUCUCCAGCCUCGGCUCAAGUCUGAAGACUCCAGCCUCGUCCUGCCUGCCAGCCAAGUCAUGUCCUUGCCUAAUUCUGGGGUCCGAUCCAGAGGCAAGACCCAGGUUCUGGGUCCUUGUCCAGUCUCUGGCUCAGAGUCCAAGCCCAGGCUCCUAGCUCUCUUGUCCAGUCCUGUUCCGGGUUCCCGGUUUUCGUAUCCAUGUCCUUGCCCUCACCCUGUAUCCUAGUCCUGUCCCUAGACUUCAGUGUCUGUGUCUUGCACUUGGGUCCGUUCCCAGCCACCUCCUUAUGGCAGUCACGGAGCAGCCACCUUCACUGAGUUCACGUUUUUGAUGCCUGAUAUUCAUCUGUAAGGAGUUCACCAAUACUGUCCCAUCCCGAACUUCUGUCCUUAUGGUUUUCCAGUUUGAGCUCUCCUUCAGUGCUUCGCAUCCCUCCUGGCUACACACAUUGUCAAACACACGCAUAGGUACACAAAAAUGCACACUCACAAAACAAACACACACACACACACACACACACGCACACACAGAUACAGACAGAGAUACAAUGAACAGAACAAAGCCGCGCUGGCAGUGGUCAGAUGAGCACGUUCCUGAUGUACAAAUAUCAGAAACUCUGCAGAAGCUGGAACCGAGGACAACACACACACACAGACAAUGCUGUAAAAACUCUGCUGAGUUCCUCAAGAUUUUUUCUUUUGAUGUUUCUGAUGUAAUAGACUUUUGUGAGCAUCUCAAAUCUGCCAAAGGUCAAACGAACAUUGAGAAGAAAUCUUACAACCUGCAAAGAAAUGGCAGUCUUGUUAAAUAACAAAAAUAAACUGUUUUAUAUUGGCAGAUGAAUAGAUUCAGGGAGGCAUAAAGUGAAUCUCAAGCCUCAGAUACAAUGUUAGAUAUGCAUGUGAGAGAAAGACAGAGUCAACGAGACAGACAGAUUGACACUGGCACCGUCUGCACAGGUGACCUCAUACUACCGUCUGACUUACCUCUCCCUCACCGGCCGGGAUUCCCUCUUCUGCCCUCGGGGAAAUACUUUAAUCACGUCCGAAUUUCCUCCUGUCGACACACAAUGUGCGACACUUAAUAGUCCGAAUACCUGAUUCUGCUCCUGUACCUUACAAUCUUACAUUUGAUAGUGGUAAACUUGACGCCUACUAGAAUAUAGAAACAUAGAAACAUAGAAAAUAGGUGCAGGAGUAGGCCAUUCGGCCCUUCGAGCCUGCACCGCCAUUUAUUAUGAUCAUGGCUGAUCAUCCAACUCAGAACCCGCCCCAGCCUUCCCUCCAUACCCCCUGAUCGCCGUAGCCACAAGGGCC